GAUGAACGCUGGCGGCGUGCCUAAUACAUGCAAGUAGAACGCUGAAGCUUGGUGCUUGCACCGAGCGGAUGAGUUGCGAACGGGUGAGUAACGCGUAGGUAACCUGCCUCUUAGCGGGGGAUAACUAUUGGAAACGAUAGCUAAUACCGCAUAAAAGUCGACAUUGCAUGAUGUUGAUUUGAAAGGUGCAAUUGCAUCACUAAGAGAUGGACCUGCGUUGUAUUAGCUAGUUGGUGAGGUAACGGCUCACCAAGGCGACGAUACAUAGCCGACCUGAGAGGGUGAUCGGCCACACUGGGACUGAGACACGGCCCAGACUCCUACGGGAGGCAGCAGUAGGGAAUCUUCGGCAAUGGGGGCAACCCUGACCGAGCAACGCCGCGUGAGUGAAGAAGGUUUUCGGAUCGUAAAGCUCUGUUGUAAGAGAAGAACGAGUGUGAGAGGGAAAGUUCACA
rnacentral:rRNA from 1 species